rnacentral:lncRNA from 1 species
GUUCCGGGGCUCGGGAGGUCCGCGCGCAGCCCCGGGAGCGGGGCGAGGGGCGGGCGGCCCCGGGACGCGCGGCCCGAGGCCCGGCGGCGGCGGCGGCGCCCAGCCCGGCCCCGGGGACCCGCUCGCCUCCCGCGGCGCGGCCUGAGGGCCCGAGCGCGCUGGGCUCCCGCGGCGGGCGGCGCGAGCGCCCGGGAGCCGGCCGGGCCCGGGGGUGGGGGGGCGGGGGGCGGAGGCCGGGGGUCGCCGGGCAUCCGGGGGCCCCGCGGUCCGGCCGGCGGGGGCGGGGGCGGGCGCCCGGGGGCGGCCCGGGGCGGGGGGCGCAGGCCGCGGCGCGGGGCGGGUGACAGCGCGCGGGGGCCGUGCCAGGCCGGCCUCGUGGGCGCGGCGAGCACCUCGCGGCCCGGCCCGGCAGGUGCGGCUCGCGGGCCGGGCGGGGGGCGCGGCGGCCCGGCUCUCACCUGGCUGCAGCCCGCUGGGCUCCCGUCCUGCCGCCGCGCCUCGGCGCCGCAGUGCCCGCCGCCGCCGCCGCCUCCGGUCCCCGCGACAGCCGCCUGCAAAAUGGCGCCGCGGAGGGGCGGGCCGGGGGCGGGGAGCCGCGGAGCCGCCCGCCCCCGCGCCGGCGGGGACCCACCUCCCUCCCCGCCCCGACCCCCGCCCGCCGCGUGCCCCCCGAGGGGCGGCCCCCUCCCCCGCGGGGCCCGGCCCGCCAGCCGCCGCCCCCGUGCCCCGCCGCGUCCCCUGCACCACCGCCUAACGUCCCCGGUCGCUCCCUCCCCGCGUGGAAGUCGCCCCCCGCCUCGCGCCCCCGCGCCCCGCGCCCCGCGCCCUCCCGCCACACCUGCUCCGGGCCCACCUGGCUCGCAGAGCGCGCCCGAGGCUCCCCCGCCCGCUGCCCCUGCACCCGUCAGCGCGGCGGGCAGACCCCGGGGCAGCCGAGCGGCGGACGGGGGCGCGGCGGGGGUGGCGGGGGUGGCGGGGCUGGGGCUCAGGCAAUUUCGCCGCUUCUCGGGUUAG